ensembl:lncRNA
CCCACGUGGGCUAUGGCCAAGGCAGGGCCUCAAAGGACUGUGGUGUUUAAAUAACUGGUUCAAUGCCAACUUCCCUUAGCUUGGGAGCUGGAAGAUAGUGUUUUCUUUAAAGAGUUGAGUCUUCAUUUCAGACAUCCAGGGUAAACAUCUUCAGCUGAGUCUGGUUUUCAUACUCAGAAAAUAGAGCGAUGGUAUUCCUAGUCUGGUUGGUCAUCUGUUUAGUGACCUUAUCCUAGAAGCCAAACAUUGGGGUGUCAGAACUGGAAUCUUUAGGUAGAAAGAACAACCAUAUAUUUCCCUAGUUGUCUUCUUACUUCUGACUGAAGAGUGCCAGAAAAUAAGGGGCCAGGAUGUAGGGCAGCUGUAUGUACGAUGAGGCUGUGGUAGCUGCAACAGGAAGCAUGUUGGGAAUUGUUCUUAUAGUCAGAGUUCAAAAUUACAACUGGAAUUUCAGAAAACUUCAAACCCCUGUAAAAGGCAAACAUACCUUACUUAUGUCUUUCAAGUUUCAACGUGGCCACACAAGAAUAUUUUUGUUCUCCCUUUUAAGAAGGAUUGAAGCAUCCACACUUUGGUUGUCCUUCUUCUUGAGCUUCAUCUGGUCUGUGGAUUGUAUCUUGGGUAAUUCGAGAUUUUGGGCUAUUAUCCACUUAUAAUGUCAAGCCACUGUCAGAGACAGCAAGGCCAGUGAACACCAGAGACAACAAGAUGGUAAGAGGCAAGCACAGGAACCUAAGCAACAGAAACAAAGAAGACUUGCUAUUGUCAGAUACCAGUUCUCCCCCUAAAGCAAAUACUGGAUAUCCAAACACACCAGAAAAGCAAGAUUUGGAUUUAAAAGCACACCUCAUG